UACUCCCUAUGGGGGGCAGCAGUGGGGGAUAUUGCACAAUGGGGGAAACCCUGAUGCAGCGACGCCGCGUGGGUGAAGAAGCGCCUCGGCGCGUAAGGCCCUGUCAGCAGGGAAGAAAAUGACGGUACCUGAAGAAGAAGCCCCGGCUAACUACGUGCCAGCAGCCGCGGUAAUACGUAGGGGGCAAGCGUUAUCCGGAUUUACUGGGUGUAAAGGGGGCGCAGUCGGCGAUGCAAGCCAGGAGUGAAAGCCCGGCGCCCAACCCCGGGAC
rnacentral:rRNA from 1 species